rnacentral:lncRNA from 1 species
CUUCUUUGGAGUUAAUAAAAGACGAGAACAAAAAAUCCUGCUGGAACAAAACUCAUCAAAUGCCAUUUCAUAAGGUACAUCCCAGUGGAAACAGGACUUCUUCGGCUAUGCCUUUGAAAGUAAUGCAACCAUGACAGCGGAUGGAAAUGCAYGCAGAGUGACAAGGUGAUGGCAGAGCAAUAUGCUGAUUUUGGCCCAAAGGUUCAUCAGGAAGCUGUAUUUGUUUACUAUCAAAUUAUGAACCAAGACAGCUGCUACCUGUGAAACAUGGAUCUCCUGUUCUUAUUUGCCAGAAUCUUCAGCAGGAAUCAUUAUGAUCCAACUCAGAUAUCCAUUGACUGUUUCAGUUUAAGAUUGGCAUGUGAGAUGAUGAGCAAAUGCAUCUGAAACUUUGGAAGAAAGGUAAAAGCUAGAGUAGCGCCUUUUUUUUUUUUUUUUUUUUUUUUUUUUUUUUUUUGUCCCAAUCCCUUGAAACACCUCAAAAAGGAAAAAAAAAAGGUCCUACUGAUAAAAUAAAACACACAACUUCCUAGAGCA